AUACUUACCUGGCAGGGGAGAUUUCAUGAUCAUGAAGGUGGUUUUCCCAGAGUGAGACUCAUCCAUUGUACUCCAGAUGUGCUGUCCCCUGUGCUGUCUUCUACUAUAUGUUUUAUAACUGCUGGGACCUGCAUUUGUGCUUUCCCCUA
ensembl:snRNA U1 U1 spliceosomal RNA